AGAGUUUGAUUCUGGCUCAGGAUGAACGCUGGCGGCGUGCUUAACACAUGCAAGUCGAACGGAGUUUUAACGGAAGUUUCGGAUGGAAGUUUAAGAACUUAGUGGCGGACGGGUGAGUAACGCGUGGGUAACCUGCCUCAUACAGGGGGGAUAACAGUUAGAAAUGACUGCUAACACCGCAUAAUAUAGUGAAACCGCAUGAUUUUGCUAUCAAAUAUUUAUAGGUAUGAGAUGGGCCCGCGUCUGAUUAGCUAGUUGGUGGGGUAAAAGCCUACCAAGGCGACGAUCAGUAGCCGGCUUGAGAGAGUGACCGGCCACAUUGGGACUGAGACACGGCCCAAACUCCUACGGGAGGCAGCAGUGGGGAAUAUUGGACAAUGGGGGAAACCCUGAUCCAGCGACGCCCGCGUGAGUGAAGAAGUAUUUCGGUAUGUAAAGCUCUAUCAGCAGGGAAGAUAAUGACAGUACCUGACUAAGAAGCCCCGGCUAACUACGUGCCAGCAGCAGC
rnacentral:rRNA from 1 species